rnacentral:rRNA from 1 species
AAGGAGGAGGACCAAGACGGGCCCCAAGGUUACUGACUCUAUGAUUGGGGUG